UGAAACGAAUGUGAGCUUGUGCAAGCAUAGCUCACACUUACGUGAACAAAUUUCGCACUUCAAACCUCUUUUAUCAUCUCACUAGAUGUCUCGGUUAUGCAAAACGAAAUGAGAGCUUCUCGUUAAGACCGGAGGUGAAAUAGAGAAAAAGAAGAAAAAAAUAAAGGAAACUAAAGUCAUUUCUUUAUCUUGAAUUCAUAACAAAAGCAAAGUACAUGAUAGGUGUAAGAGAUGCAUGCCCAGCAGCAUUACAAACAAAUCCGAAGUCCAAACCCAGUAACAAUUCGAGAUCCCUACUUAAAACAAAUCACAACCUAGCUCGCUACCUUGUAUGCAUCCCUUACAUCCCAUGUUCAUAACAUUAACAACCCAAAAGAAAAAAAAAGCACUAGUUAAUUAGGACAUAUAUGUAAAAGAAACAAAACAAGCUAAGGUUAAACAUGGAACAAAAACAAGGAAACUAAAUUAAAAACAACAGAAGUUAAAAGUAAAAUCGGACCGCUACCCUCAAUUCCCCGCAAUGCAAUAAUGCCGCUCUCCCAAUUCUGCCCCCUCUAGAGGCUAGAAACUCGGGAGAGCGCAAUUGCAAAGCAUGUUGUUUGUGUGUUGUUGUGCCAUCAGCUACCGUCCAUAUCUACUAAAGAACCCUUUUCGACCGUGCCUCCACCUCCUUCGCCACCAGACACCCCAGCCACCGUGGCGGCGAGCCUUGAUGAGCAUCGUUGACAUAUGACCUUUAGUGAAAAGAACUAUAGUGUCAGUCAAUAUGCUUAAGAUAAAUUGUGCAUUAUGAGCUCUAAAACGAAGUGCUAAGUACUAGCUAGAAAAGAAAAGAAAAGAAUGUGGUGGAUAUAGAGGGCUAAGGGGACAUGAUGGGUCGUAUAUAAAGGCGAAACUAGCUAGUAGCUUUUUGGUGUAAUGUGAGUGGG
rnacentral:lncRNA from 1 species